GACGAACGCUGGCGGCGUGCUUAACACAUGCCAGUCGAACGGAAAGGCCCUGCUUUUGUGGGGUGCUCGAGUGGCGAACGGGUGAGUAACACGUGAGUAACCUGCCCUUGACUUUGGGAUAACUUCAGGAAACUGGGGCUAAUACCGGAUAGGAGCUCCUGCUGCAUGGUGGGGGUUGGAAAGUUUCGGCGGUUGGGGAUGGACUCGCGGCUUAUCAGCUUGUUGGUGGGGUAGUGGCUUACCAAGGCUUUGACGGGUAGCCGGCCUGAGAGGGUGACCGGCCACAUUGGGACUGAGAUACGGCCCAGACUCCUACGGGAGGCAGCAGUGGGGAAUAUUACACAAUGGGGGGAAGCCUGAUGCAGCAACGCCGCGUGCGGGAUGACGGCCUUCGGGUUGUAAACCGCUUUCGCCUGUGACGAAGCGUGGGUGACGGUAAUGGAUAAAGAAGCACCGGCUAACUACGUG
rnacentral:rRNA from 1 species